CCUACGGGGGGCUGCAGUGGGGAAUAUUGGACAAUGGGGGCAACCCUGAUCCAGCCAUGCCGCGUGUGUGAAGAAGGCCCUCGGGUUGUAAAGCACUUUCAGUGAGGAAGAACGCCUGGUGGUUAAUACCCAUCAGGAAAGACAUCACUCACAGAAGAAGCACCGGCUAACUCCGUGCCAGCAGCCGCGGUAAUACGGAGGGUGCGAGCGUUAAUCGGAAUUACUGGGCGUAAAGCGCGCGUAGGUGGCUUGAUAAGCCGGUUGUGAAAGCCCCGGGCUCAACCUGGGAACGGCAUCCGGAACUGUCAAGCUAGAGUGCAGGAGAGGAAGGUAGAAUUCCCGGUGUAGCGGUGAAAUGCGUAGAGAUCGGGAGGAAUACCAGUGGCGAAGGCGGCCUUCUGGACUGACACUGACACUGAGGUGCGAAAGCGUGGGUAGCAAACAGGAUUAGAUACCCGUGUAGUC
rnacentral:rRNA from 1 species